rnacentral:rRNA from 1 species
CCUACGGGGGGCUGCAGUGGGGAAUUUUGGACAAUGGGCGAAAGCCUGAUCCAGCAAUGCCGCGUGAGUGAAGAAGGCCUUCGGGUUGUAAAGCUCUUUUGUUUGGGAAGAAAUCCCUAAGGAUAAUACCCUUGGGGGAUGACGGUACCAAAAGAAUAAGCACCGGCUAACUACGUGCCAGCAGCCGCGGUAAUACGUAGGGUGCAAGCGGUGAUCGGAAUUACUGGGGGUGGUUUUUGAAGAGGCGGGUGAAAGCCCCGAGCACAACUUGGGAACUGCCCUUGUGACUGCAAGACUAGAGUGUGUCAGAGGGAGGUAGAAUUCCACGUGUAGCAGUGAAAUGCGUAGAUAUGUGGAAGAAUACCAGUGGCGAAGGCGGCCUCCUGGGAUAACACUGACGCUCAUGUACGAAAGCGUGGGGAGCAAACAGGAUUAGAUACCCCGGUAGUC